rnacentral:rRNA from 1 species
GAGUUUGAUCCUGGCUCAGGACGAACGCUGGCGGUGCGCCUUAUGCAUGCAAGUCGAGCGAAGCUUUUCAGUAGUUUACUACAGAAAAUGACUGAGCGGCGAACGGGUGAGUAACGCGUGAGCAACCUACCUUAGUUACUGGGAUAGCCCGAGGAAACUCGGAUUAAUACCGGAUAUUCUUAUUUAAUCACAUGAUUUUUUAAGGAAAGGUCAGCCGAACUAAGAUGGGCUCGCGUUCUAUCAGCUAGUUGGUAGGGUAAUGGCCUACCAAGGCUACGACGGAUAGCUGGUCUGAGAGGACGAUCAGCCACACUGGGACUGAGACACGGCCCAGACUCCUACGGGAGGCUGCAGCAGGGAAUAUUGCGCAAUGAGCGAAAGCUUGACGCAGCGACACCGCGUGUGGGAUGACGGAUCUAGGUUUGUAAACCACUUUCAGGAGGGAAGAAAAUGACGGUACCUCCACAAGAAGCCCCGGCCAACUACGUGCCAGCAGCCGCGGUAAUACGUAGGGGGCGAGCGUUGUCCGGAUUUAUUGGGCGUAAAGAGCUCGUAGGCGGUUCAACAAGUCGGUCGUGAAAGUUCAGGGCUCAACCCUGAAAUGUCGAUCGAUACUGUUGUGACUAGGAUACGGUAGAGGUGAGUGGAAUUCCGAGUGUAGCGGUGAAAUGCGUAGAUAUUCGGAGGAACACCAAUUGCGAAGGCAGCUCACUGGGCCGCUAUCGACGCUG